rnacentral:rRNA from 1 species
UAGAGUUUGAUCAUGGCUCAGGACGAACGCUGGCGGCGUGCCUAAUACAUGCAAGUCGAACGCGUCCCGGUUGAUGAAGUUGAGUGCUUGCACUUGAUUGAUUCAACUUGGUGACGAGUGGCGAACUGGUGAGUAACACGUGGGUAACCUGCCCCGAAGCGGGGGAUAACAUUUGGAAACAGGUGCUAAUACCGCAUAACAACCAAAACCACCUGGUUUUGGUUUGAAAGACGGCUUCGGCUGUCACUUUGGGAUGGACCCGCGGCGUAUUAGCUAGUUGGUGAGGUAACGGCUCACCAAGGCGAUGAUACGUAGCCGACCUGAGAGGGUAAUCGGCCACAAUUGGGACUGAGACACGGCCCAAACUCCUACGGGAGGCAGCAGUAGGGAAUCUUCCACAAUGGACGCAAGUCUGAUGGAGCAACGCCGCGUGAGUGAUGAAGGGUUUCGGCUCGUAAAACUCUGUUGUUGGAGAAGAAACGGGUGUCAGAGUAAACUGUUGACAUCGUGACGGUAUCCAACCAGAAAGCCACGGCUAACUACGUGCCAGCAGCCGCGGUAAUACGUAGGUGGCAAGCGUUGUCCGGAUUUAUUGGGCGUAAAGCGAGCGCAGGCGGUUUUUUAGGUCUGAUGUGAAAGCCUUCGGCUUAACCGGAGAAGUGCAUCGGAAACCGGGAGACUUGAGUGCAGAAGAGGACAGUGGAACUCCAUGUGUAGCGGUGAAAUGCGUAGAUAUAUGGAAGAACACCCAGUGGGCGAAGGCCGGGCUGUCUUGGUCUGCAACUGACGCUGGAGGCUCGGAAAAGCAUGGGUAGCGAACAGGAUUAGAUAACCCUGGUAGUCCAUGCCGUAAACGAUGAGUGCUAAGUGUUGGAGGGUUUCCGCCCUUCAGUGCUGCAGCUAACGCAUUAAGCACUCCGCCUGGGGAGUACGACCGCAAGGUUGAAACUCAAAGGAAUUGACGGGGGCCCGCACAAGCGGUGGAGCAUGUGGUUUAAUUCGAUGCUACGCGAAGAACCUUACCAGGUCUUGACAUCUUCUGCUAACCUAAGAGAUUAGGCGUUCCCCUUCGGGGACGGAAUGAACAGGUGGUGCAUGGUUGUCGUCAGCUCGUGUCGUGAGAUGUUGGGUUAAGUCCCGCAACGAGCGCAACCCUUAUUGUCAGUUGGCCAGCAUUUAGUUGGGCACUCUGGCGAGACUGGCCGGUGGACAAACCGGGAGGAAGGUGGGGAUGACGUCAAAUCAUCAUGCCCCUUAUGACCUGGGCUACACACGUGCUACAAUGGACGGUACAACGAGUCGCGAAACCGCGAGGUCCAAGCUAAUCUCUGAAAGCCGUUCUCAGUUCCGGAUUGCAGGCUGCAACUCGCCUGCAUGAAGUUGGAAUCGCUAGUAAUCGUUGGAUCAGCAUGCCACGGUGAAUACGUUCCCGGGCCUUGUACACACCGCCCGUCACACCAUGAGAGUUUGUAACACCCAAAGCCGGUGAGGUAACCUUCGGGGGGCCAGCCGUCUAAGGUGGGACAGAUGAUUAGGGUGAAGUCGUAACAAGGUAGCCGUAGGAGAACCUGCGGUUGGAUCACCUCCUUA